CACACACACCGACACGGGACAUGUGUAUACACUAACGUCGUAGGUCUACGUGUACACGACCACGGCGGCGGCACGCACUUGCGUGGCCUACAUAAUAUAAUAUAAACACAUCGUGUGCGCUGCGGCCACGGCGAUAAGAUUUGUGCAAGCGCUGGACGGGGGGGCGGGGACGUCGAUGGUCGCCGCACGUGGGACGGUCGUCGUAGCCGCCGAACGCGAUUCUCGACGACGACCCGGGGGGGGACCGUAUAGGCAUAUUUUUUUUAAUAUCGUUUUUUACGUACACACAUCUCCGGCCAGACUCGCUCCCGCCACAAACGCGUCAUUGUUUAUAUAUUUUAUUGUGUGUGUGCAGCGUGUAUUUUUUGUUUCUACAAACUCGUUUUCCCGCAGCGUACAACCUAUAGGUACCUAUAGGGCGGCUGCAGUAUAUAGAUGGACGCCACGCGACGAUCUUCGGCCGCAGAGACGUAUAUUCCUGCGGGAGGACGAUGUCUCCGGCGGGGAAGUGGCGAUCGAGACCAGCUGGAUAUUGUAGGGGUGCGCAGCCGGGCUGAUGCGACACGUCUUUAUAUGUUAUUAUAAAGUCGUUACAAAUUAAUAUAAUAUAAUAAUUAGUAGGUAUAUAAAUAUUAUACCUAUUAACUAAAUCACAAUAAUAACUCUCGAUACAUAUGUAUCCUAAAUUAUGUAUAUUGAAUUUAUUUAUAUUAUUAUUUUUAAAUUAUAUCGAUGACAAUCGUCUAUAGAGUGUGUCUUCAAAAAAUCAAGCUUUUAUACCUGUCGCUAAAGUGGUUUUAACGUUGAGUUUACUCGUAGAAAGAAACAGAAUUAAAUAAUUAUAGACGUAGGGGGCGAGUGCUACGCCCAUGAGCGUUGUGUAGCAUGCAAGUAAAACAAAUUCAAAACUACAUAUUUGACUGCAAUAAUAGUUGUAAAAUCGUUUAAUAUGCAGGACGAAUAAACUACAAUCUGUUCUGGUUACAGGAAAUCUUUUUGAAAAUUAUGUUGCUUUUUACCCAGAGUGCCACAAUUACAACCUGUUGAAGUCUCUGUAAAAAAAUAUUUUAAAGGACCGUAGGCGGUAUGCGUAUAGAGUGUGACGUAACUAGUAACUAUCUACAAUCUACCUGGUUGAAAAUUAAACUUCCAAGUAAUACAAGUCGACAACAGUUAAACGACUGUACACUGACGAAACGCGGCAAGUCGCACGUGAACAGGUGAGAUCCUGCAUACAUAAAAUCGACUUUGAACGAUGUGAUGGCAGUACAAAAGAAAAUCACGAAAAUCGGUACCAGCACGAAUAUACGAAAGAAGCAGCAAUAAGUUUUAGACGACUGCACAGCAUCGUUUAAAAACUAUGUCUAGUAUCGUAUUCCGCAGUAAUGCAUGCUGUCCAACAGAGUGCGGUGAUAGUGCGAUGGCAAGACAACGACAGGAGGAGCCGAAAUCGACUAGUUUUAAGACGCGGCCGCCCAAACGUCUGGACGGCUGUAUAAGAACGCAUCCGGCUCGAUGACCUACAUCCGGGAUCGCCGUCGGCUUGUACCAACACGCGCAUCUCUUAUGAACAGCCCAAUAAAAUUCGACCAGUUGAAUUUGUCGUGGCCACUUUUCCCCCUCUAUUUUUCUCUCUCAUUCCUUCUCUUUAUCAUUCUUUUUUUCUUUCUCUGUUCAUAUUUUUAUAUUUUACUCACACGUUCCCCACUUUUUUCCUUUCCUUUACUAUUUUUCUAUUUCAAUGACAGAUUUUUUUCCAUAGGUAUAGUUCUUGGGUAAACAUUAUAAUAUUAUGUAUAUCUGUGUUUAUGGCUCGUCAUUUAUUUAUAUUGUUACCAGUAAGAUCUGUUAUUAAAAUAUAAUAAUGAGCUUUGCAUACUUACAUUCUUCCGGCAAUGGUAGCUAGAUAUAAUGUUUUUAUUUUUGUAUUUAAAUCACAUUUAUCUUUUACACAAUAUAACGCAAAUCUUAAUAUUAAAAUAAAUACAUUUUACUCCACUAUUAUAUGCAAAUUAUUACAUUUUUUUUUUAGUAGGUCUUUUUAUUUAAUUUUUUAUACGAAUAAAAACGUGAAAUUUAAAAGUGCUUCUUAAAAUACUAUAACAAUAUUAUUUAUUUUAUUCAAAUCCAUAAAAAGUAUACAAUUAUACUAUAACCUUAACAAUUUUUUUAAUCUUAUUAUGUUUAUAUAUUUGUAUGUAUUAUUUCAAUAUUUCAGUGUUUUGGAAAAAAAUAGUACACUAAAAUGUUGAAGAGAUUUAUUGUAAUAAUUGUUUCAAUUUUUAAACGCGUUUGUUAUUUAAAACCUUUAACCAAGUUAUAUAGAUAUUAGAUACUCACGUAAAAUAAACUUAUCAUGGUUGCGCGAACAUACAGAUCAAGUGUUCACUUCUUUCCAUUGUUCCAAAAACAUAUUUUAGCCAGCAAAUGUAUGA